rnacentral:rRNA from 1 species
GGUGACGAGCGGCGGACGGGUGAGUAAUGUCUGGGAAACUGCCUGAUGGAGGGGGAUAACUACUGGAAACGGUAGCUAAUACCGCAUAACGUCGCAAGACCAAAGUGGGGGACCUUCGGGCCUCAUGCCAUCAGAUGUGCCCAGAUGGGAUUAGCUAGUAGGUGGGGUAAUGGCUCACCUAGGCGACGAUCCCUAGCUGGUCUGAGAGGAUGACCAGCCACACUGGAACUGAGACACGGUCCAGACUCCUACGGGAGGCAGCAGUGGGGAAUAUUGCACAAUGGGCGCAAGCCUGAUGCAGCCAUGCCGCGUGUGUGAAGAAGGCCUUCGGGUUGUAAAGCACUUUCAGCGGGGAGGAAGGCGGUGAGGUUAAUAACCUCAUCGAUUGACGUUACCCGCAGAAGAAGCACCGGCUAACUCCGUGCCAGCAGCCGCGGUAAUACGGAGGGUGCAAGCGUUAAUCGGAAUUACUGGGCGUAAAGCGCACGCAGGCGGUCUGUCAAGUCGGAUGUGAAAUCCCCGGGCUCAACCUGGGAACUGCAUUCGAAACUGGCAGGCUAGAGUCUUGUAGAGGGGGGUAGAAUUCCAGGUGUAGCGGUGAAAUGCGUAGAGAUCUGGAGGAAUACCGGUGGCGAAGGCGGCCCCCUGGACAAAGACUGACGCUCAGGUGCGAAAGCGUGGGGAGCAAACAGGAUUAGAUACCCUGGUAGUCCACGCUGUAAACGAUGUCGAUUUGGAGGUUGUGCCCUUGAGGCGUGGCUUCCGGAGCUAACGCGUUAAAUCGACCGCCUGGGGAGUACGGCCGCAAGGUUAAAACUCAAAUGAAUUGACGGGGGCCCGCACAAGCGGUGGAGCAUGUGGUUUAAUUCGAUGCAACGCGAAGAACCUUACCUGGUCUUGACAUCCACAGAACUUUCCAGAGAUGGAUUGGUGCCUUCGGGAACUGUGAGACAGGUGCUGCAUGGCUGUCGUCAGCUCGUGUUGUGAAAUGUUGGGUUAAGUCCCGCAACGAGCGCAACCCUUAUCCUUUGUUGCCAGCGGUUCGGCCGGGAACUCAAAGGAGACUGCCAGUGAUAAACUGGAGGAAGGUGGGGAUGACGUCAAGUCAUCAUGGCCCUUACGAGUAGGGCUACACACGUGCUACAAUGGCAUAUACAAAGAGAAGCGACCUCGCGAGAGCAAGCGGACCUCAUAAAGUAUGUCGUAGUCCGGAUUGGAGUCUGCAACUCGACUCCAUGAAGUCGGAAUCGCUAGUAAUCGUAGAUCAGAAUGCUACGGUGAAUACGUUCCCGGGCCUUGUACACACCGCCCGUCACACCAUGGGAGUGGGUUGCAAAAGAAGUAGGUAGCUUAACCUUCGGGAGGGCGCUUACCACUUUGUGAUUCAUGACUGGGGUGAAGUCGUAACAAGGUAACCGUAGGGGAACCUGCGGUUG